AAGAGCUCGUAGGCGGUGUGUCACGUCGGCCGUGAAAACCUGCAGCUUAACUGUGGGCGUGCGGUCGAUACGGGCAUCACUGGAGUUCGGCAGGGGAGACUGGAAUUCCUGGUGUAGCGGUGAAAUGCGCAGAUAUCAGGAGGAACACCGGUGGCGAAGGCGGGUCUCUGGGCCGAUACUGACGCUGAGGAGCGAAAGCGUGGGGAGCAAACAGGAUUAGAUACCCUAGU
rnacentral:rRNA from 1 species